UGUUUUCUCUACCCCCUCCUUUCUAUAGCUAAACUUUAACUUAAUAUUCUCUUUUUUCUGUUUCCGAGGUUAGCACUUCAGCCUGUCUUGUCUACCCUUCCUUGUGUUUGAGCUUCCAACAAACUGAAGUAAUGGAGGGGGACGGCAUAGAAGAAGGGCUGGAAUCAGCAACAAGCCCUCUACUUCUCGGAGAUAAGAGCAUCGGCAAUACAACAACCAGCAACCAGCACUCCAUCACUCCCGUUCUUGUCUUCAGCACCUUUGUUGCUCUCUGUGGUUCCCUCAGCUAUGGAUGUUCUGUGGGUUACUCAUCGCCUGCUGAGUCUGGAAUAAGGGAAGAUUUAGGCCUCUCUGUUGCAGCAUACUCUGUUUUUGGUUCGAUAGUGACAAUAGGAGGGAUGAUAGGUGCAAUUUUAAGUGGGGAGAUGGCAGAUCUCGUCGGUCGAAGAGGAACGAUGUGGACAUGCCAGAUAAUUUGCAUGGCAGGCUGGCUUGCAAUAGCAUUUGCUAAGAAAGCUUGGUGUCUGGACAUUGGAAGAUUCUUAGUCGGAGUUGCAAUUGGGAUUCUUACUUACGUGGUGCCUGUAUAUAUUUCAGAAAUUACUCCUAAGAAUCUCAGGGGACGAUUUACCUCAGCCAGUCAGUUGUUAGUAUAUUGUGGCUUUGCAGUGACGUAUUUUGUUGGAAGUAUUGCAAGCUGGCGUGUCUUGUCUCUUUUAGCUACUAUUCCAAGCUUAGUGCAAAUUGUAUGUUUAUUUUUCGUCCCGGAGUCUCCAAGAUGGCUGGCAAAACUCGGCCGUGAAAAGGAGUUUGAAGCUUCUUUGCAACGUCUUAGGGGAACAAAUUCAGAUAUUUCUGAAGAAGCAGUUGAUAUCAGAGAUGCUAUAGAAAUUUUGAAACAGACCUCAGCUGAAACUAGAACCUUAGAGUUGUUCCAGAGGAGAUAUGCUUAUGCAGUUAUUGUUGGAGUAGGGCUGAUAUUUCUACAAACAUUUGGAGGAAGUAUUGCAGUGUCAUAUUAUCUUGGCACCAUAUUUGCUAAAGCUAAUGUUUCAACCUCUUCUGGACCUAUAAUUUUUGCUCUUUUACAGAUUCCAACAUCUGUUGCAACUGUACUCUUAAUGGAUUUAUUUGGAAGACGGACACUUCUUAUGGUUUCAGCAACCACAUCAUGCUUAUGCGUGUUCCUUGUAGGAUUAUCGUUUUGCUUGCAGGAAUCCCACAACCUGAAAGAGCUCACCCCAAUAUUGACUUUGGUUGGCAUAUUGGGUUUUGGCUGCGGUUUUGCCAUAGGCAUGUCAGGAAUACCUUGGGUUAUAAUGGCAGAGAUAUUUCCUCUAAAUGUUAAGGCAUUAGCAGGAAGCCUCGUGGUUUUAACCAGCUGGGCUAGUUCUUGGGUUGUGACAUACACAUUUAAUUUUAUGCUGGAGUGGAGUUCAGCUGGGACAUUCUUCAUCUUCAGUGGAAUGUGUGCUUUAACUAUUUUAUUCGUGUGGAAGUUGGUGCCAGAGACGAAGGGAAGAACAUUAGAAGAAAUACAAUCAACAUUAAUCACUCAGAUCCCUGGACAAAACUCGGUGAUAGCGAAAACAUAAAGAUGGUGUUUAGCUUAACGACACUGUUUUAAUGAGUAUAUUAAUUUUUUCUUUGAUUUUCUUAAUGAACAUGAAUUUAUGCAACAAUUUUCUUUUAAGAUUAUUGUAUGUUUUUAAUUUAUGGUUUUAAAAUGAAUAGUGAAUUACAUACAAUAAAUUGGUGGAAUUAUGAGCA